rnacentral:lncRNA from 1 species
GCGUGAUGUGUGAGUGUGUGAAAUUCCCCAUCGGGUCACCCGUCCUGUUGUUGACCAAGUCUGAUUGCCGCUGAGAUGAGUGCCAGUUUAUCAACUCUACACCCGUGCUGCGUUCAGAUGUAGUCUCCCAGGCGGAAAAGGCGUCCUUUUGUUCUACUUAAAAUCCAAUAGGUCUAUCGCAAGAGGCAUUCCACGUUGAAGGUUGUUUGGAGUCGAAGUUUCCUGCGUCCCUAUGCUGCACAGCUACCGCUCUACUGCACAUCCAAGCUGUCCAUCUUGUAAUCAGCCCUGAAGUUGCGGCCUGUCGUUCGCUGGUAAAAUUGAGCUAUUUUGAGUUGAUGCAUGAGUAACAUUUUGAAGGGAGUAACUAUUUCCUUCUGUAAACUAAACGUAUAUAUUUUGUAAAUGCAGUCUAAUUGUGGUAACUUGGUUAUUGAUUUGUAUAGCAUCUGUGGUUCCUGGGGAGGGGAGGGACAAGUGCAACCUUUUUUGGAGUGCUUCCUUUCACAGGCCCAGUUUCUCAUGAGCAGUAUCAGCAAAGAGAUCCCCAGAUGUAGUGUGGACCCCAGUAGUUUCAUAUUGUUUACCACAAAGUAAAGAAUGUAAGGCUGCAAGUGAAUCCUCUACUGUUGUGGAUAUUAAAAGAAUUCACAGUUUGCAGAGCGGAUUAGGUAGACAUGGCUUGGGUAGCGCUUUUGAGGACGGAGCCUCCAGUGGAUGUGGCCCUUCCUGGCAGCUAGUGCAACAUGUUCGUCUGGGGUGUCAAGCCGCGAGACAGCAAAGAUUCCAAAGGCCUCAAAGUAAACCAAGUUGUUCUGUAAGGUGGCAAAUUCUCUGGAUUGUUAAAUGUGUGCUUGGUUCAAUUCAUGGAUAUUGUGAGUUGUGGGGUUAUGGGGCCUGGGGACUUCUUAAUUUUGACUCUUGCAGAUUUAAAGACCCAAAACCUCAAAACGGGUGGUCCAUCUGUUUAUCGGCCCUAACGGAGCAAAGCUGCUACAUACAGGCAUCACGUGGUUUUAAACAAUUUCAAACGGCAAGUAAUUGGUAUUCUUGUAAAUGAUUGAUUGGUUUAUUAUUGUGCAACUAACUGUACUCCCUUUUGUGUUGCUAUAAUGGUAAAUAAAGUUUGGGACAAUCUCA